UACGUAGGGGGCAAGCGUUAUCCGGAUUUACUGGGUGUAAAGGGAGCGUAGACGGCAGCGCAAGUCUGGAGUGAAAUGCCGGGGCUCAACCCCGGAACUGCUUUGGAAACUGUGCAGCUAGAGUGCGGGAGAGGUAAGCGGAAUUCCUAGUGUAGCGGUGAAAUGCGUAGAUAUUAGGAGGAACACCAGUGGCGAAGGCAGCUUACUGGACCGUAACUGACGUUGAGGCUCGAAAGCGUGGGGAGCAAACAGG
rnacentral:rRNA from 1 species